GGGCCCCCGGACGCAGCCGCCAAAGGCAGGGAGCCGCCGCCGCCCCGGCGCAACUCAUUGCCGGGACAAAAAAGCAACCACUUCGUUGAACGAAACGGGCCAAUAGUGCCUUUGGCUCGGACUGAUGACGCACAGCAGACGAAAAAGCAAAGAGGAACUUUACAAACUGUUACAGUUUUCCAUCAUCACUUGACUGCUGACAAGAAGCCUCUUUGAAUUGCAGUAUACACGAUCACAUUUUAAAACUUUCAAGAUGCCGUUUAAUCAGGAGUUGUAAGGCACAUUUGUUAGAGAGAGCUGCACUUUAAAAAUUAUACAGACAUCACCUGAAGUUAUUAAAGUUAUCAAAACAUAAAAACCUUCAAGUAAGAGGCUACUCCCCAGGAAACAUGUGGAGCCAGUGAAAGGAAGAAAAACAAUGGAAGGAAGGCUUGAAAAGUCCAUUACAAAACUACAGUCCUUUGAAAAAGAUUUCAAAGAUAUUAAAAUGAAAACUGAUUACAUUAAACAAUAA